rnacentral:rRNA from 1 species
UACGUAGGGUGCGAGCGUUGUCCGGAAUUAUUGGGCGUAAAGGGCUCGUAGGCGGUUUGUCGCGUCGGGAGUGAAAUCCACUGGCUUAACUGGUGGCUUGCUUUCGAUACGGGCAGACUGGAGGUAUGCAGGGGAGAACGGAAUUCCUGGUGUAGCGGUGAAAUGCGCAGAUAUCAGGAGGAACACCGGUGGCGAAGGCGGUUCUCUGGGCAUGUCCUGACGCUGAGACGCGAAAGCGUGGGGAGCGAACAGG